GUGGGGAAUUUUGGACAAUGGGCGAAAGCCUGAUCCAGCCAUGCCGCGUGCAGGAUGAAGGCCUUCGGGUUGUAAACUGCUUUUGUACGGAACGAAAAGACUCUGGUUAAUACCUGGGGUCCAUGACGGUACCGUAAGAAUAAGCACCGGCUAACUACGUGCCAGCAGCCGCGGUAAUACGUAGGGUGCAAGCGUUAAUCGGAAUUACUGGGCGUAAAGCGUGCGCAGGCGGUUAUAUAAGACAGAUGUGAAAUCCCCGGGCUCAACCUGGGAACUGCAUUUGUGACUGCAUGGCUAGAGUACGGUAGAGGGGGAUGGAAUUCCGCGUGUAGCAGUGAAAUGCGUAGAUAUGCGGAGGAACACCGAUGGCGAAGGCAAUCCCCUGGACCUGUACUGACGCUCAUGCACGAAAGCGUGGGGAGCAA
rnacentral:rRNA from 1 species